UAAAAUUUAAUUAUUUAAGUUAAAAUUUUAAGUAUUUAUUUAAUAAAAAAAAUUGAUUUUAGUAUGGAAAAGAAAAAAAAAUAGUUAUAAUAGUUAAAAGUAUUGUAGAAGAAAUUAAAAUUUAAUGGAAAAGAAAAAUUAAUUUUGUACCUUGUGUCUCAGAGUUUAUUAAUUAAAAUUUAAGUAUUUUAAAUUUCCCGAAUUUUUAAGAGUUAAGAUUUUAUAAAUUUUAAUGUAUAAAAAUUAUUUAUAAUUAAAUCUUAGAAAUGAAAUGUUAUUCGUUUAAAAAUAUAUCUGGUUAUUUAAGAAAAAAAUUUAAUUUUAUAAUUAUCUAUUUUUAAUAAAUUUUAUAUUUUGAAAGAAGUUAGUUUUUAAAAUUUAAAGGGAUAAGCUUUUAAAUUUAUUAUUAUAUAAAAUUUUAAUAAGGAAAGAUUAAUAGAAUUAGAAUUGUUUUGUAAUUAAAGUUUUUUAUAAAUUAUCUUUUUAAAUUGAAAAUUUAAAUUUUUAUUAGUUAUUUUAUUGAAUUUAAAAAUUUUAUGAUAUUAUUUUUGUAUUUAUGAUAAAAUUAGUAUAAUUGAAUUUAUGAGUAUUUAAAUUUGAAAAUUUUUUAAAAGGAAUUCGGCAAAUAAAAUUUUUACCUGUUUAUUAAAAACAUCUCUUUUUGAAAAUAAUUUAAAGUAGGGCCUGCCCACUGAAUAAUUGAAGGGCCGCAGUAUUUUGACUGUGCAAAGGUAGCAUAAUCAUUAGUUUUUUAAUUAAAAGCUUGUAUGAAUGGUUUGAUAAAAAAUUGACUGUCUUUUUUAAAAAAUUAGAAUUUUAUUUUUAAGUGAAAAAGCUUAAAUAGUUUUAGAAGACGAGAAGACCCUUUAGAGCUUUAUUUUUAAGUUAAUUUAAUUUUAUAGAAUUUUAGAUACUUUUAAUUUAAAAAUUUUAUUGGGGUGAUGGAAAAAUUUACUUAACUUUUUUUUAUAUAAAUCAUAAAUAAAUGAAUAUUUGAUCCUAUUUAUUAGAUUAUAAGAUUGAGUUACCUAAGGGAUAACAGCGUGAUUUUUUUUAAAGUUCUUAUUAAAUAAAAAGAUUGCGACCUCGAUGUUGGAUUAAAAUAAAAAUUUGGUGUAGAAGCUAAAUGUUUGAGUCUGUUCGACUUUUAAAAUUUUACAUGAUCUGAGUUUAAACCGGUGUAAGCCAGGUUGGUUUCUAUCUUUAUAGAAUGAAAGUAAUUUAGUACGAAAGGACCAAUUAUUAAUUUUUUAAAUUUGAGUUGAAUA
rnacentral:rRNA from 1 species